rnacentral:tRNA from 1 species
GGGCCAGUAGUAUAGCCUGGAUAGCAUGGAGGCUUCCGAAGCCUUUGACCCGGGUUCGAAUCCCGGCCGGCCCG